rnacentral:rRNA from 1 species
GAGACUCUGUGCGCGUGCAUAUCAAUAAGCGGAGGAAAAGAAACUAACAAGGAUUCCCUUAGUAACGGCGAGUGAAGCGGGAAGAGCUCAAAUUUGAAAUCUUCAAGGUUUUACCUUGACGAAUUGUAGUUUAAAGAAGUGUUUUCUGUUGGAGUUUUGGUAAAAGUUCUUUGGAAUAGGACAUCAUAGAGGGUGAGAAUCCCGUAUUUGACCAUUAUUUCAGCUGUGUGAUACACUUUCAAAGAGUCGGAUUGUUUGGGAAUGCAGUCCAAAAUGGGUGGUAAAUUUCAUCUAAAGCUAAAUAUUGGCGAGAGACCGAUAGCGAACAAGUACCGUGAGGGAAAGAUGAAAAGAACUUUGAAAAGAGAGUUAAACAGUACGUGAAAUUGUCAAAAGGGAAGCGUUUGACACCAGUGUUGUUUAGUUGAAAAUCAAUUCAAUAGUUUUUGAUUCUAAGUAGUAUUGACUUCAUCAGCUUGCUGCUUUCUUCUCAGAAAUUAUUGAAUGCACUUUUCAGUUAACAAGUCAACAUCAAUUUCUUUUGUUGUAAAAGGGUAAGAGGAAGGUGGCUUGCGCUUCGGCUCAAGUGUUUAUAGCCUUUUAUCUCUGCAAUCGGAGAGAUUGAGGUCUGCAGCGUAGAUCCUUCGGGGUUAGAUACAUUGGUGCUAAGCUAUAGCCUUGUAUAGACAACUUGUUGACUAUGCUCAGUCAUGUAGCUUACUCGCUGAUGCUAUUUUACCUACGCUUAGGAUGUUGAAUCUGUGCGAGACUAC